rnacentral:lncRNA from 1 species
CUUUGAUGUAUGUUUACACAGUUUAGAUCUUAAUUAUGUUUACGUUUACCUAUCAUGUCUGUUUGGAUUAAAUACCCAAAUUUGCAAAUAUAACGGAAAUGUAAACAACUCUCAUACACACGCGGGUUUUGCUAGCUAUAACACCAGGAUUAACCCACUAGUGUCUCCGACCGACCGUGCGAGGGCUGAAAAGCCAGUCAAGGUCGUUAAACACUUCCAUAAAUAUAGUGUCUCCGUAAAAUACUUGUGCCCAUUCAGGAAAAUGGCAGAAAUUUUCAUUUGUUCCGUUGAUUCAAUGCGUUUGAAUUUGCCACUUUUUACGGAAUUUCUUUAAUGAAUAUUUUUCAUCAUGGCAAUGCAUUUCGUUUAUGAGAUAUCAAUUAUUGGACUAUUAAAAAACACCAGUAGUUUAUCGAUGUGCUCAUCUAAUAGAUCUGUUGAAAAUAAAUUAAAAACACAACACGAUUAGAUAAGCAUUUACGACUGUACUGGUCAAUUUUGUUAUUUUCCUAUAAUUGUAGUUCGUCUAAGCUAUGUAAAGUAUAGUUCUCAAAAUAACUAUCAAAAAGGCAAAACAAAUAUGGUAAGAAUGAUAAAAACUCAAAACACUCAGGGAAAGGCAUACACUUCACAGUGAGUUGUUAUAGAGCAACCGCAUAUGAUGUAUGACAUGCCAGAUGUAAAUGGGAUAGUGGAUGGUGC